UAGUCAUAUGCUUGUCUCAAAGAUUAAGCCAUGCAUGUCUAAGUAUAAGCAAUCUAUACGGUGAAACUGCGAAUGGCUCAUUAAAUCAGUUAUCGUUUAUUUGAUAGUACCUUACUACUUGGAUAACCGUGGUAAUUCUAGAGCUAAUACAUGCUAAAAACCCCGACUUCGGAAGGGGUGUAUUUAUUAGAUAAAAAACCAAUGCCCUUCGGGGCUCCUUGGUGAUUCAUAAUAACUUAACGAAUCGCAUGGCCUUGUGUCGGCGAUGGUUCAUUCAAAUUUCUGCCCUAUCAACUUUCGAUUGUAAGGUAGUGGCUUACAAUGGUUUCAACGGGUAACGGGGAAUUAGGGUUCUAUUCCGGAGAGGGAGCCUGAGAAACGGCUACCACAUCCAAGGAAGGCAGCAGGCGCGCAAAUUACCCAAUCCCGACACGGGGAGGUAGUGACAAUAAAUACUGAUACAGGGCUCUUUUGGGUCUUGUAAUUGGAAUGAGUACAAUUUAAAUCCCUUAACGAGGAACAAAUG
rnacentral:rRNA from 1 species